rnacentral:rRNA from 1 species
AUUGAACGCUGGCGGCAGGCCUAACACAUGCAAGUCGCACGAGUGGCGGACGGGUGUGUCAUGUCUGGGAAACUGCCUGAUGGCGGGGGAUAACUACUGGAAACGGUAGCUAAUACCGCAUACCAUCAGAUGUGCCCAGAUGGGAUUAGCUAGUAGGUGGGGUAACGGAUCACCUAGGCGACGAUCCCUAGCUGGUCUGAGCGGUUGACCAGCAACACUGGAACUGAGACAGGGUACAGAGGCCGACGGGAGGCAGCAGUGGGGAAUAUUGCACAAUGGGCGAAAGCCUGAUGCAGCCAUACCGCGUGUAUGAAGAAGGCCUUCGGGGUGUAAAGGACUUUCAGCGGGGAGGCGUUACCCGCAGAAGAAGCACCGGCUAACUCCGUGCCAGCAGCCGCGGUAAUUC